UCUACCUCUCUCACAUAAAAAGAAAAAUAACCGGCCCAAAUACAAUUUAGGCUUGGAAUACUUAAAAAAAAAAAUGCGCUGGAUACAGAAAGAAGUAGAGGGUUCUCUGUUCCUCUUCAGACGUAGAGCACCGCUGCAAGCACAUAGAGGAAGAAAAAUCUAUGGGCAUCAACACCGUUAGGCUACAUAUCUACCACCAUCAGAUCGUCGGAAUCGGUUCCGCACCACCCAUCUCCGGCUCCAUUCAAUCACAGCCUCAACGGUGAUUUUGGUUUAGGGUUAUGUUUCUCUGCUCUGUUAGUUGUCUGCCCCCAUCACUUCUCUUCAACGGUGUAUUAGGAAGAUUAGUCAUCCCUGACUUAUAAGACUUUUGGCUACUAUUCGAGAAGAACUAUUGAAUUAAAUUGAAAGAUAUCGACGUUGACAUGGGCCAUUCCUUUGGAGAAACUAGGUUGAACGUAACUACAGAUGAUACUUUGGUAGAAGAUGGGUCCAAUUGUUGUGCUACUCCUCAAGGAAUCCAUGGGUCAGAAAAUGAGUGGUUGUGAAGAAUUUCCAAGUUGGAUGGAAUGCCAUGUUGUCUUUUUUUUUUUUUCUCCCCUUUGAUGGAAUGCCAUGUUGUCUUUGGCAAGAUGCUAUAUGGGAUGGAUGUCGUCUACAAGAGUUACAUAGAAGGAUAUAUUUAUUUAUUGUUUUGGGAUGUUAUUCUAUUUGGUCAGAGAACUUUUAAAUCCUCUAUUAUUGUUGAGAUUCGCAGAUUGUACAUAUUUGUUUUACUGUGGUUAAAAAAAGGUUAAUUGAUGCAUUUUCUUAGAGAUUAUUAUUAUUGUAGAUGUUUAAAUGAAGCAAUGCAUGAACACUCACUGAACCCUACUACUUUGUUAUAGUAAUGUUAACUAUUGUUUA